rnacentral:rRNA from 1 species
UGGGGAAUAUUGGACAAUGGGCGGAAGCCUGAUCCAGCAAUGCCGCGUGUGUGAAGAAGGCCUGCGGGUUGUAAAGCACUUUCGUUGGGGAGGAAAGGGCGAGGGUGAAUAGCUUUCGUAGAUGACGUUACCCAAAGAAGAAGCACCGGCUAACUCUGUGCCAGCAGCCGCGGUAAUACAGAGGGUGCAAGCGUUAAUCGGAAUUACUGGGCGUAAAGGGUGCGUAGGUGGCAUAUUAAGUUAGGUGUGAAAGUCCCGGGCUUAACCUGGGGAUUGCGCCUGAUACUGAUAAGCUAGAGUACUGUAGAGGAAGGUGGAAUUUCCGGUGUAGCGGUGAAAUGCGUAGAUAUCGGAAGGAACACCAGUGGCGAAGGCGACCUUCUGGACAGAUACUGACACUGAGGCACGAAAGCGUGGGGAGCAAACAG